rnacentral:misc_RNA from 1 species
UAGAAAUUAACUCAAGGUCAAGUUUCUUUUUUCAAGUGUUAGUGAAUGGCACGAUGCAAAGUAUUGUGAGGAGCUUAAAGUCCCACUUUGUUAAGGAUUUCUAUUAUAAUUUGAAUUCUUUAAUUCCUAUUUGAUUUGUUAUUCCUAGUUUAUCUAAGACUUUAAAAUAUUAUUUCUAAUUAGUUUAGGUCCUUUAAAUUAUUUUUCUACUUAGAUUAGGAUUUAAAGCUCUAUAAACACCUAUUAUAUUUUUAUUAUAUAUAAGUUUUUCAAAUUUAUUUUAAGUUGGUUUGCUUUAUUCUCUUAGAUUCUGAAUUGAAUCUUGUG